GCUGGUGUAGCUCAGCUGGUAGAGCAGCUGAUUUGUAAUCAGCAGGUCGGGGGUUCGAAUCCGUC
rnacentral:tRNA from 1 species